rnacentral:rRNA from 1 species
GCGUGAGUGAAGAAGGCCUUAGGGUUGUAAAACUCUUUCACCCGUGAAGAUGAUGACGGUAGCGGGAGAAGAAGCUCCGGCUAACUCCGUGCCAGCAGCCGCGGUAAUACGGAGGGGGCUAGCGUUGCUCGGAAUUACUGGGCGUAAAGCGCACGUAGGCGGUGGACCAAGUUAGGCGUGAAAGGCCUGGGCUUAACCCGGGAACUGCGUUUGAUACUGGUCUGCUAGAGUCCGGGAGAGGGUAGUGGAAUUCCCAGUGUAGAGGUGAAAUUCGU